GCCCAUCUCAGCAAUACCUAAUCUCCGAUGAAAGUUGGAAUCACGAGAAUUCACCUUUAUUACAACCCACUCUCUCCAUCAUUCAAUCACGAUAAUUCGCUUUCGUUUCAACGCCCUUUGUUUAACCUUCUAUAUAAAUCAUUCUAUAAAAUUUUUGAUUAAAGCAAACUACUCUUCAGAGAGGGAAUAUAGAGAUUCAUACGGUGGUGAUGACCAACCACUGAACACCAUAGCCGACGAAACCCGGGUUGGCUAAGACUGGUGGUGAGGAAUCGGCCGGAAAAAAUCAGGUCUCCACCGGCAGAUCUCCCGUCGCCUUUUACUUCAACAACGUCUCAUCAGGCCCAGCCAAAUCAGAGCUCUGAUUUCGCUUGAUCCACUUCUGGGAAGCCAGAACCAUUGCAAAGGUGGAACCUUUAUUUGCUUAGAGAUGCUCCUCAUCGACGACAGAUAAGCAGAUACCUCAUGGAUCAAAACGCUUGCGUUCUUCGUCGACAGGAAGGUCAUCAUCAUCAGUUUUACAAUAGUCACUGAAAAAAAAAAAGUCAACCAUCUUUCAUUCUAUUGUUGAAAUGAUCAUAUUAGAUGGAUACUCCACUGUUCUUUAUGUGACAUAUUUUAUCAGUAUUUUGAAGUUCCAUGCUAAUCAUUAUAAACAUUAUCCCAUGAUGUUAACUCUCAACAUUGUCAUGUUGCGAUACCACCACUCAGAGCUUGAAUUUAGAUAAACCUGCAAGGAAUUUUAUGUCUUAAUAUUUUCCUUUUACUGAUUUUGUGUCUUUGAUUUGAAGAACCAAAAGAAUAGAUGAGGUUGGACUAUCUCUCCGAGGAGCUGAUUUCAGAUAACCGUCUAUCUCCAGAAUCAUGGUGUGCUGUUGGGAACUGCUAUAGUUUGCGUAAAGAUCAUAAAUCUAUUCUUAAGAUGUUUCAGAAAGCUAUUCUACUGAAUGAAAUAUCGAGAUAUGCACAUAUGCUUUCUGGUCACGACGGUUUAGUAGAGGCCAGUAUAUCCAUCUUCUAGGCUGGGAAAAGACGGGGACAAACUGGAAGCUGAAGUCACGAAACAUGUUCCUCUUUUAGCUCCAGAGAUUUUGCUUUGCUUUACUUUAUAUUGUUUCUAACUAUAGAUUUUUUAAUUACAAGGUAAGGAUGAAAAGCUAGAUGGACAUGCAUGUAUAUAUGAGCUGUGAGCAAGUUUUCCUGUGAUAUAUUCCAGAGGACGUGACGCAAACUAUGAACAAAUAAAUCAUUUGUGAGGUGAUGAGGCUCUUUUUUUAUCUUCUUUUUAACAACUUAUCCUUUGUCCUUUUGACCGACAAUUUACUUUCUCGGGUGGUUUUGGGUGUGCCGUUCGGAGUCGAGAAUGAUAAGCUAAAAGGAUUUCUUAGUUAAAAACUUAAAAUGUAUGCAGUCUUCUUUUUCUUUGUUGGACAUCCCCAUAAAGUAUAGACUAUUUUUUCAAGUACCAAAAUAUAAUUUGAAAGUAGUAGAAAUAUUGUGUACACUCUGAUCUAAUAAAAUUUUAGCUAUUAUCCCUAA